GUACACUCCUGCGGGAGGCAGCAGUGGGGAAUUUUGAACAAUGGGCGAAAGCCUGAUCCAGCAAUGCCGCGUGAGUGAAGAAGGCCUUCGGGUUGUAAAGCUCUUUUGUCAGGGAAGAAACGGUGAAAGCUAAUAUCUUUUGCUAAUGACGGUACCUGAAGAAUAAGCACCGGCUAACUACGUGCCAGCAGCCGCGGUAAUACGUAGGGUGCAAGCGUUAAUCGGAAUUACUGGGCGUAAAGCGUGCGCAGGCGGUUUUGUAAGUCUGAUGUGAAAUCCCCGGGCUCAACCUGGGAAUUGCAUUGGAGACUGCAAGGCUAGAAUCUGGCAGAGGGGGGUAGAAUUCCACGUGUAGCAGUGAAAUGCGUAGAUAUGUGGAGGAACACCGAUGGCGAAGGCAGCCCCCUGGGUCAAGAUUGACGCUCAUGCACGAAAGCGUGGGGAGCAAACAGGAUUAGAAACCCGAGUAGUCCC
rnacentral:rRNA from 1 species